UUUCAAUUUCACAAGUUAAGU
rnacentral:piRNA from 1 species